AUACGGAGGAUCCGAGCGUUAUCCGGAUUUAUUGGGUUUAAAGGGAGCGUAGAUGGAUGUUUAAGUCAGUUGUGAAAGUUUGCGGCUCAACCGUAAAAUUGCAGUUGACACUGGAUAUCUUGAGUGCAGUUGAGGCAGGCGGAAUUCGUGGUGUAGCGGUGAAAUGCUUAGAUAUCACGAAGAACUCCGAUUGCGAAGGCAGCCUGCUAAGCUGCAACUGACAUUGAGGCUCGAAAGUGUGGGUAUCAAACAGGAUUAGAUACCCUGGUAGUCCACACGGUAAACGAUGAAUACUCGCUGUUUGCGAUAUACGGCAAGCGGCCAAGCGAAAGCGUUAAGUAUUCCACCUGGGGAGUACGCCGGCAACGGUGAAACUCAAAUGAAUUGACGGGG
rnacentral:rRNA from 1 species